CGUUGAGAUGAGGAUAUCUUUGUUCUGAAUUUUUUUUUAUUAAUGUUGACUUGCAAAUCAGACUACAAUUAUCUGAUCAUAUG